UGGCGACGGGUGAGUAACGCGUGAGGAACCUGCCUCAAAGAGGGGGACAACAGUUGGAAACGACUGCUAAUACCGCAUAAGCCCACGGGUCGGCAUCGACCUGAGGGAAAAGGAGCAAUCCGCUUUGAGAUGGCCUCGCGUCCGAUUAGCUAGUUGGUGAGGUAACGGCCCACCAAGGCGACGAUCGGUAGCCGGACUGAGAGGUUGAACGGCCACAUUGGGACUGAGACACGGCCCAG
rnacentral:rRNA from 1 species